AAUUUAAAGUAAAAAAUAGUUCACAUCAUUUUUUCUUGAUUUUAAAAAAGUUAAUGUGUCCAGGUUGAACUUAGAGGCACAAUCCGUAAUAUUUAAGAAAUGUCCCACUUUACCAUUUGGAGAAAUGAAAGGAGUUCUACAGUUAUAAUAGGCAAGAUAUUGUUCUUCAAGAGAUAUUAUUCUUUCAAAAGCAUGUUUCAGACUUCCUGAACUCUUUCCUGUGUCUUCUGCCCUCUCUCUUGCUUAAAACAGACCAUGACUCAGGACUUCAGAAAACCAGCCAACAAUAUUUGGGAGAAAAUUCUCAGUUAAAAGACAUGUUUAGACCCUGGCCAGGAAUCUAAAUUAUAGUAAUGUUUACAUGAGACUGUAAGUGUUUUUUAUUCUUGUGGAGGAAGUAAGUACUUAUUUAAGAGGUAUGUUUUAAGUUGUUAAAAGAAAAUGGAAAACUAAAGGAAAUAAGGUCUUUAUCCAAACUGACUACCUGGGAACUAAUAGAACAUCCAUGAUGAGUGCUAUUAAGUGAAGGGUUUCUCUCGAAGAGGGCUAGUAUUUAACCAGUCUCUUAUUUCAAACAGUGCCAAGACUGCUGUAGGCUCUCAGAAAACAGGACUUACUGACAGCAGUGAUGUCGCUGAGAUACAGCAACACCAUCGCUUAAGAGGAAAUAGGUUCAUUUGAUUUAUCAACCAGUCUUAAGAGACACCUCACAAGUUUGACAGAAGAUCUCAUAUAGACGCGUAAUUAAGGCCGUUAACAUAACGAAGCCAUGAAAUAUUAUGACUUGAAAGCAUUAUGAACAUUUCAAUCAUCCUGACAAAAAUAAACAAAAUAAAAAUUGCGUCAACUGUA